UUUGUUUAAAGGCAAACCAGUUGAAAAACUGGGACGCAAAGCUAUGGGCCUAAAGUAUGAACGAACAUACAAUGGCAGCCGGUUGCCAAA
rnacentral:ncRNA from 1 species